GGGUUUGUGGCUCAGUGGUAGAGUGCUUGCCUAGCAUGCGUGAGGCACUGGGUUCAAUCCCCAGCACCA
rnacentral:tRNA from 1 species